UACGUAGGGGGCAAGCGUUGUCCGGAUUUACUGGGUGUAAAGGGUGCUCAGGCGGAUCUAUAAGUCAGAGGUGAAAUCCCGAGGCUUAACCUCGGAACUGCCUUUGAUACUAUAGUCCUAGAGUACGGGAGAGGGUGAUGGAAUAUCUGGUGUAGCAGUGAAAUGCGUAGAUAUCAGAUAGAACACCAAUGGCGAAGGCAGUCACCUGGCCCGUAACUGACGCUAAAGCACGAAAGCGUGGGGAGCAAACAGG
rnacentral:rRNA from 1 species